rnacentral:rRNA from 1 species
AUUGAACGCUGGCGGCAUGCCUUACACAUGCAAGUCGAACGGUAACGCGGGGCAACCUGGCGACGAGUGGCGAACGGGUGAGUAAUGCAUCGGAACGUGCCCAGUAGUGGGGGAUAGCCCGGCGAAAGCCGGAUUAAUACCGCAUACGACCUACGGGUAAAAGCGGGGGACCGUAAGGCCUCGCGCUAUUGGAGCGGCCGAUGUCAGAUUAGGUAGUUGGUGGGGUAAAGGCCUACCAAGCCUACGAUCUGUAGCUGGUCUGAGAGGACGACCAGCCACACUGGGACUGAGACACGGCCCAGACUCCUACGGGAGGCAGCAGUGGGGAAUUUUGGACAAUGGGCGCAAGCCUGAUCCAGCCAUGCCGCGUGCGGGAAGAAGGCCU